GGAUAGGUGGGAGGCUUUGAAGCGUGGACGCCAGUCUGCGUGGAGCCAACCUUGAAAUACCACCCUUUAAUGUUUGAUGUUCUAACGUUGGCCCCUUACCGGGGUUGCGGACAGUGUCUGGUGGGUAGUUUGACUGGGGCGGUCUCCUCCCAAAGCGUAACGGAGGAGCACGAAGGUUAGCUAAUCCUGGUCGGACAUCAGGAGGUUAGUGCAAUGGCAUAAGCUAGCUUGACUGCGAGCGUGACGGCGCGAGCAGGUGCGAAAGCAGGUCAUAGUGAUCCGGUGGUUCUGAAUGGAAGGGCCAUC
rnacentral:rRNA from 1 species